AGAAGAAUGGCAAAAACAUCCUCGCACAUCUGCCCCCCGCCCCGCCACCUGGGCCUAGCGCCUUUCCGUGCUCCUAUGCUUGUUUUCAGGAAGACCAGGCUUCCUGCGGGAUGGAGCGGGGGAUGAGAGGCGAUAAAGGGGGAUGGGGGAAAUGUUAUGUUUUUUCUUUGGAGUGCUUUUAUGAAGUGAUAUGGCUGAAGUUUUUGUUACACAAAAAACAGCUGUAACAGUAUUGUAAAGGGGACUAUACAGCAAUCAGGACUGAAUGUUUCCAUCAUGGCUACUUCCCGGAGGUCAGUUUGGGACUUGUAACCCCAAACUUUGAAACUGUGAAUUGGAAACUAUAGCAGAGGUGGCGACUUGUCCAGGGUGUACACUGCCUUCCGCCCAAUUGUAGCUGACAUAGGCAUCAACGCCCCCCGCACCCCAAAGGGAAUAAGCGAUUGAGCACAGGAAGUGAACAAAUGUGUGUCAAUCGGAAAAAGGGCAGGAUUAAAAAAGAUCUGCUUCUUCCUACUCCUUUUGAAACAUUUUGAAAUGUGAAACUGGAAAAAUGUGGAAUUUUGUGAUGUUCCACAUUCUUCCACAUUGUAACUGUAUGUAUGUUUGAAAUAAACUCAUACCAUACCCAUAA